CCGAGCUCGGCGCGCUUUCGGCGGCGGCGGCGGCGGCGGCGGCGGCGACCCUCCGGUCGCUUAGGCGGAACUCGGGCCCAGCCGCUCUACUUUCGGUUUCGAGGUAGAAUCAACUUCAAGGAAUGAGUUGCAUGGGCAGCAGCAGAGUUCUUGGACGCCCGUCCCUAUGGGCCGCUUUUCUUCUCAACAAGUCACACGGGCAGGGAGUGUUGUAGCGACCCGUGUCUAUACUGCGGCGCCACGUGCAGGGAGCGCGGCACAAUUCGCCCUCCCGACUGGCUUCGGGCACGCUUCAGACGCAGGGCCGGGGACCUCCUCUCUGUUCCCAGACCCUCCCUUGCACCUAGAUGUUUAUGUUCUCGUAUCUUAACUGUUCUGCAGCGCCCUCCUUCCUGCCUGUGCACAAGAGAUUUCAGUUCGUCCUCUCAGUUGACUUCCUUUUCCAGGGCUUUCGCUCCAUUCUCCACCACACAGGACCCGGAAGCCACCACAGAGCCAAGGCUUCUGUGUUCUGGAGCGUCAGGGAGCCUGGGGACUGAGGCACCGUCCGGCAGCCACGCCCUUGUUGAGACAGUGCAGGCAGCUUUGACCGAGAAUUUACGUCAUCCAGGAGACUGUACGCGUUCACGUCACCAACUGGCUCCUCACCCACUGGGUCACACUGUGAGAAACCCAUUGCCCUGCCACCUCCUGGACGCCUGUGAUCCCUGGGAACACUGCCCUGACCUGUGGAGGCCUUCGCCCAGCCUGCUGCCCUGGUUCUCUGAGUUCCAGCCAAGAACAUGACCGCCCCUGAGGGAGCUCCCCCGGACAGUAGUGGAUGGAAUUGUCCCCUACCCGCUUUGCCACUUAACAUAGUGAGGGAACAGUGGCCUGCAUCUACAUCCCGGCCUCAACACUAUCACUCCCGCUGAACAUGAGGCCUGGCCCUCCAGGAGCGUGCGGUCAAGAACAGUGAUCGAGCAUUUCCUCCGGCCUGGCCCUGCCCUGCUGAGAGAAGAAGGGGAACUUGGACUCUUGCCAGGGUCUAGAGACAUUGGUGUGAUGAUGACACAGGAUCACCACCCACUAACUCACCAUCUCCAUCUCGGAGUCUAAGUUCUGGCUUGUGCCUUAGGAAGCAGGCCUCAAAAUGGAGGAAAUUCCCCAAACGUCAGAAGAGUGUUCAAAAGACGCUGGCAACUGCAAGGCAUGACAAAUAUCCACUUGAAUGUUAGAACAAAAUGUGAAAGGCAGGGUGCAAUGACACUUGUAAUAACUGACAGUAUUAGAGAGCAAAUGACAAUAUUAAGAUAGAUUUUAUAACAUUGGAAUUUCAGGAAAUCGCAUUUGACAUCUUCUUAUGGGGAAAUGUUUCCCUCUACUUAAACUAUUUUUCACUGUG